ensembl:snoRNA
AACCCUUGGCAUUGGGCAAAGAGACACCUAAUUGGUGGUGGUGUCCCUUAUAUCAAGUCAGGGGCAGAGCAGAUGGUAGUCGUUUGUUCAUCCUUGCUUGGUGCCUGGAUUGGUGGCCAAAGCUGCUUCAUGCCUAGGGCACAUAA